rnacentral:tRNA from 1 species
GUUUAAAUAGCUCAAUAAGAGUGUGGCAUUGAAGCUGCUGAGGUGACGAAUGUCUUUGAAUA